GCUUUUUCGAUGCUCUGAAUCACGAUUACGAAAGAAAAAAGAAUGAAGAAUGUUAUCGUAUCCUGGGUCAAGUGCGUUAAACGUUUAAAACGUUUUAAUUCGAAGAACAAGCGUGACAAAUCUGUCCAACGGUUCGUGAUCAGGUUGCAAAGCGACGGAUUUAAAAAACGAGAGGGAAAUACUUUGGAAGGAAAAAGAAUUCCUUUUGGAAAUUCCUCGCGUUUCUUCGACUCAGUAAACGGUGAAAUUCGAUAUUCAGGAUUUCACGAAAGACACGUAGACGUCGAUAACUAGAGGGAAAGCAACGAUUUCAACGUUUCAAUUCGAUCGAAUCACUUUCGAUGAAUAACGUAUAUUUUAAAAACCGAAUCUUUUUCUCAUUUUUCCGAAACUUAAGAACAAAUAACGGAUUUACGUGUAAUUCUAAAAAUCCCAAUCAUCCAACAUGUCCUUCUCGUCAAAUGUAUAUGUUUACCUUCUUUCACCAUUGUUGCAAUCGAGUUGUUUAAGAAAAAUACAUCACGUUUGUUUAAACAAUCGAACUAUUUAUCAUUUCCAUUUCUUUUACUAAACUUUUGCAUAAACUUUCGUGGAACAACUGAAUCAAUAAUCACACCGAUCGAUCUCUCUUCGACAAUCGUCUAUCUAACUCGAAACAAUCUAAUUCCAAAGUUGAUGUCGUGGUGUCGCUGGUGUAUGCAUGGCGGAUCGACGAGGAAACAGUUGCAGAUAGAAUUGUAGAAAUAUAAAGGAGAAGAGUGAAAGAGAGGGUAAAGACGAGACGAUCGCGUUGAAAAUGGCGGGCUAAGUGGUAUUGUUCUCUGGAUGGAGACGUAGGAGGAUUUUUACCUUCUCGUUCUUGUACCGUCUAACGACCCUUUUGAGCUGUCGCCGUAGGAGGAGGUUUUUGAAGCGAAGAAACAGAAGAAGGAAAGAGAGAAAAAAAAAAGAAUGGAAAACAAGAGGAGAAUAGGAUAGAAGAAGGGAAGCCAAGAGUCGAAAUAGAAAGAUGAGAAAAAUUGUAACGAGAGUUAACGAGAAAUUAAUUAUACGAGAAGAGAGAUAUAUAUGUAUGAAAGUAAUAUGUAGAAAAAAAGAGGAACUGAAAGAAAAAUAUUAAAGGUGAGGUUAAGUGUUAAGCCAUUACGAUUUUUCUUCUCUUAGAUUAGAAGAAGGAGAAUAGUCGAAGAUAGACGAGAAAGAAAUUGUUGAGGAUCUUUCUUCUGUUUAAGGAGUCGAAUUUUUUUCUUUCUU